rnacentral:lncRNA from 1 species
AACCAACGAGACCUUCCACAUUAAUGAGAAUGAUUUCUGCGCAAUAAAUAGCACAGAUGUUGGGAUUCACGAUGCUUACAACGAAGAAGGUGAAGGUGGUGUGGAUGUCCAUCAACCAAGGAGGGGUCGAAACCACAACAUUUGUGGCAAUACAUUUUAUGCAAACAAAGGCGAGCGUGUUGGGAUUAGCAAAGUUGGCAACAAGUACAACAAGAAGUCGAGCGUACCAUUUCUUCUUGGUCUUCUUGGUCUUCUUGUUCUUUUUGUUAUUGCUUCUUCUUUUUUCUUUUAUAUAUCAAUGGUGAGUAAGCAAAACAAAAAAUGAAGCAAGCGGCUUGAGUGAAAAAAAUGGCACGACUAAGAAGAAGAAAAAUAAAUAGUUGGCGAAAAACUAGAUUUUAUGGGGCAGGUCAAGACUCUACCACAUGUGAUGGGGCAGGAA